rnacentral:lncRNA from 1 species
AGUUGGUGACGGAGCCCAGCUCCCGUAGGAGUCCGGGCGGAGUCUUUCUACAGCUGGAGUUGGUGACAGAGCCCGGCUCCCGUAGGAGUCCGGGCGGAGUCUUCCUGCAAUUAAAGUUGGUGACGGAGCCCGGCUCCCGUAGGAGUCUGGGUGGAGUCUUCCUCAAUUAAAGUGAGGUGCGAAGUCCGGCUCCCGUAGGAGUCCAGACGGAGCUUACCCGCAGUUGAAGUUGGUGACGGAGCCCGGCUCCAGUAGGAGUCC